AUUGAACGCUGGCGGCAGGCCUAACACAUGCAAGUCGAGCGAGCGGCGGACGGGUGAGUAAUGUCUGGGAACCUGCCUGAUGGAGGGGGAUAACUACUGGAAACGGUAGCUAAUAACGCCUACCAUCAGAUGUGCCCAGAUGGGAUUGGCUUGUAGGUGAGGUAACGGCUGACCUGGGCGACGAUCCCUAGCUGGUCUGAGGGGAUGACCAGCCACACUGGAACUGAGACACGGUCCAGACUCCGACGGGGGGCAGCAGUGGGGAAUAUUGCACAAUGGGCGCAAGCCUGAUGCAGCCAUGCCGCGGGUAUGAAGAAGGCCUUCGGGUUGUAAAGUACUUUCAGCGGGGAGGCGUUACCCGCAGAAGAAGCACCGGCUAACUCCGUGCCAGCAGCCGCGGUAAUUC
rnacentral:rRNA from 1 species